AUUGAACGCUGGCGGCAGGCUUAACACAUGCAAGUCGGGCGGAGAUGAGGUGCUUGCACCUUAUCUUAGCGGCGGACGGGUGAGUAAUGCUUAGGAAUCUGCCUAUUAGUGGGGGACAACAUUCCGAAAGGAAUGCUAAUACCGCAUACGUCCUACGGGAGAAAGCAGGGGAUCUUCGGACCUUGCGCUAAUAGAUGAGCCUAAGUCGGAUUAGCUAGUUGGUGGGGUAAAGGCCUACCAAGGCGACGAUCUGUAGCGGGUCUGAGAGGAUGAUCCGCCACACUGGGACUGAGACACGGCCCAGACUCCUACGGGAGGCAGCAGUGGGGAAUAUUGGACAAUGGGGGAAACCCUGAUCCAGCCAUGCCGCGUGUGUGAAGAAGGCCUUAUGGUUGUAAAGCACUUUAAGCGAGGAGGAGGCUACUGAGACUAAUACUCUUGGAUAGUGGUCGUUACUCGCAGAAUAAGCACCGGCUAACUCUGUGCCAGCCGCCGCGGUAA
rnacentral:rRNA from 1 species